UACGUAGGGUGCAAGCGUUAAUCGGAAUUACUGGGCGUAAAGCGUGCGCAGGCGGUUGUGCAAGACAGAUGUGAAAUCCCCGGGCUUAACCUGGGAAUUGCAUUUGUGACUGCACGGCUAGAGUGUGUCAGAGGGGGGUAGAAUUCCACGUGUAGCAGUGAAAUGCGUAGAUAUGUGGAGGAAUACCGAUGGCGAAGGCAGCCCCCGGGGAUAACACUGACGCUCAUGCACGAAAGCGUGGGGAGCAAACAGG
rnacentral:rRNA from 1 species